AUUGAACGCUGGCGGCGUGCCUAACACAUGCAAGUCGAGCGGAAUGAAGGAGCUUGCUUUUUCAUUCAGCGGCGCACGGGUGAGUAACACGUGGAUGAUCUACCCGUUUGUUCGGGAUAACGGCUGGAAACGGUCGCUAAUACCGGAUACGAUUCCAUUUCAAAGUUGGAGUGAAAGGGGGCCUCUGCAUAUGCUUCCGCAAACGGAUGAGUCCGCGUCUCAUUAGGUAGUUGGUAGGGUAACGGCCUACCAAGCCGAUGAUGAGUAGCCGGCCUGAGAGGGUAAUCGGCCACACUGGGACUGGAACACGGCCCAGACUCCUACGGGAGGCAGCAGUGGGGAAUAUUGCGCAAUGGGCGAAAGCCUGACGCAGCGACGCCGCGUGAGGGAUGAAGGUCUUCGGAUCGUAAACCUCUGUCAGGAGGAAAGAACGGCGCGGGUGCUAAUCAGCCCGCGAUUGACGGUACCUCCAAAGGAAGCACCGGCUAACUCCGUGCCAGCAGCCGCCGUAAAAC
rnacentral:rRNA from 1 species